rnacentral:lncRNA from 1 species
AGGAAUUAUAUUUCUUUAGAUUGAUUUAGUGUCUACAAUAGUUACAUAAAUAGAUCUAGCAAAGUAGAAUAAGACAAUGAGAAUGAAUAAACAAAUGGAGAUACCAGAUUUGGGGAAGUCACUUUCGGAUAGUGACAACUCUCUUCUCUCUUCUUUCCUUAGCAUAUCAUAUGACUUUGGUUUGUUUCCACACUCCAACAGCUCUAUCCAGUUGCCUCCACUUUUUUAAAUUCGUCUAAGACUUCAGGCAAGAUAUUUAAAUCAGUCUCACACAUUUCUUUGCUUCAGUUUUCCUGUCCAUGAUUUCAUGUCCAUGAUUUCAUGUCCAUGAUUUCAUGUCCAUGAUUUCAUGUCCAUGAUUUUCUGUCUAUGAUCUCAUGUCCAUGAUCUACUGUCCAUGAUCUCCUGUCCAUGAUCAAUCAUGUUUUUCAUGUCUUUACUCUUGCUCUUUAUUCUCUUCAUGUCAACAACCAAAACGCCAAGGCAAAGGAGAGGAGGCCAACAACCGUUACACCUCACCAACGAAAGACCACAUCAGAUCUGAGUCAGGAGAGCCAGAUCUAACGCAGAGAAGCCCACCCUAAAAAUCUGACUCCUACCUCUUCCUCGUCUCCCGUAACCUCGUCGAAACACCGGAGCAACUCGACGUUAAAGGAACUAUCUCUGGACCCAGAUCUGGGGAUCCAAAAAUCAAUCGGAUACUCU